rnacentral:misc_RNA from 1 species
AUAGAACUUUUUUUUUUACUUGUACCUCGUUUUCCUUUAACAUUUUUUUUCUGUUUUUUUCUUAUAGUACAACAAAUCAAUGGCCACCCGGACGCAGAUGCUAAACAUGGAGGGAAUUUGGCGUACCGUGCCAAUUAUUGUGGCGCGACUCUUUACGAGAAAGUACGUGAGACUUGCCAUGCUGUCCGAGGAGUCUCCAACCAAGAGUUUCUGGAUUCAAAGGACGCCAGCACAUUCUUGUUCGGACGUGGUAUCGAAAAGCGAGGUUUGCACCACGAAUGCUGCACUGAAGGAUGCAGCAUCGAGGAGAUUUAUGAAUCCUGCUAAAGCAGACACUGACCUGGCUAACUUCUUGCCAUUGGCGUAUUCAGCUUUACAACAAAUAGAGUUUUCCGUCUUAUUCCAAGAUAUGAGUGGUGGUGGUUUCUUCGCCGAAAUAAAUAUCAAGUAAAAUGGCAUUUGCUUCCUUUUAUGACAGUUUGCAAACAUUGAAUGGACAGGUCCUAGUUUAAACCCUUUUACCUCCCAUUGCUCGGUGAAUGAAUUAUACCCCGGAAGCCUCAGCUGUCUCAAAAUAAAAUCUUGGCUUCUUGACUUGUAUUGCAAAAAACAUACAUUUUCGAAGUCUUGAUCCAACCAAAUCAAUCCAACCUUUCUCUUAGCCGAGAACUGGACGGAUCAACAGCGCAUUAAAGAUUUCUUUCAGGUCCCUCACGGUAGAAAUGAAGCAUAAUACGAGACAUAACAAGCUCACUUCUCAAACUGAACAACUUUCUUGUUAAGACAACUCUGUUUGUUUAUACAUCGACAGUUGCUCUUUAAUUUAUAGAAAGUGUUGUGUUUAUCGAAGCAUUUUAAAAACGAAGAAUGACUCCUCCUUGCAGUGAGCGUUUGGGUUGUAUAUGAUACCUGGGGAGUGUUUUAAAGCACGAAGAGAAAUGCAUUUCCGUACCACAUUCACGCUUGUGCUUAUUUAGAAUUCUUCUUUCGGUAAAUAUAUCUUUAUGUACAAAAAAACGCCGCCCACGAAGGGUCUAUGUUAAGAUUAUCUGGCCCUUCGGUUUUUUCUUUCUUUUCCUUGCUGUUUAAUUUUUUCAACAUGAUUUUAAUCUGCAAGCAUGAAAGAUUAAAGUUUACCUGCAAA